rnacentral:rRNA from 1 species
UACGUAGGGUCCGAGCGUUGUCCGGAAUUAUUGGGCGUAAAGGGCUCGUAGGCGGUUCGUCACGUCGGGAGUGAAAACUCGGAGCUUAACUCCGAGCCUGCUUCCGAUACGGGCAGACUAGAGGUAGGUAGGGGAGAUCGGAAUUCCUGGUGUAGCGGUGAAAUGCGCAGAUAUCAGGAGGAACACCGGUGGCGAAGGCGGAUCUCUGGGCCUUACCUGACGCUGAGGCGCGAAAGCUAGGGGAGCGAACAGG